GACGAACGCUGGCGGCGUGCUUAACACAUGCAAGUCGAACGGAAAGGCCCUGCUUUUGUGGGGUGCUCGAGUGGCGAACGGGUGAGUAACACGUGAGUAACCUGCCCUUGACUUUGGGAUAACUUCAGGAAACUGGGGCUAAUACCGGAUAGGAGCUACUGCUGCAUGGUGGGGGUUGGAAAGUUUCGGCGGUUGGGGAUGGAAUCGCGGCUUAUCAGCUUGUUGGUGGGGUAGUGGCUUACCAAGGCUUUGACGGGUAGCCGGCCUGAGAGGGGGACCGGCCACAUGGGGACUGAGGGACGGCCCAGACUCCUACGGGAGGCAGCAGUGGGGAAUAUUGCACAAUGGGCGGAAGCCUGAUGCAGCAACGCCGCGUGCGGGAUGACGGCCUUCGCGUUGUAAACCGCUUUCGCCGGUGACGAAGCGUGAGUGACGGUAAUGGGUAAAGAAGCACCGGCUAACUACGUG
rnacentral:rRNA from 1 species